rnacentral:lncRNA from 1 species
GGAAAAGGAAGAAUGAAAAGGAAAAACAAGAAGAAAAUAAAAGAGGACAGAGCAUGGUGGCUCAAACCUGUAAUCUCAACACUUUGGGAAGCUGAAAUGGGAGAAUUGCUUGAGCACAGAAUUUUGACACCAGCCCUGGGAACACAAAGCAGAAGGAAAGGAGGAAGGAGAGAAGAAAGAAAGGUAGGAAGGAAGGAAAAAUAAAACCAAAAAAGUUCAGGGAACAUCACUCGCACUGAUGAUCAAAGCAUUCCCAAAGCAAAGCCUGGGGUUCUAUUUAAAAUCAUGCAACCAGGAAAAGCAGACAUGAGAAACUUACUACACUCACUCUGGAGAAGAUAAAGUGGAGUUCCAGAGGAUUAUUUUCUCACGUAACAUGUUUACAGACUUCGGAGGUUGAGGCGGGUGGAUCACCUGAGGUCAAGAAUUCAAGAGCAGCCUGGCCAACAUGAGGAAACCCUGUCUCUCCUAAAAAUACAAAAAUUAGCCGGGCAUGGUGGUGGGAGCCUGUAAUCCCAGCUACUUGGGAGGCUGAGGCAUGAGAAUCGCUUGAAUCUGGGAGGCGGGGAUUGCACUGCACUCCAGCCUGGGCAACAAGAGUGAAACUCCAUCUCCAAAAAAAAAAAGAAAAAAAAAAUUGUAUACAGACAACAAUUAUUUUAAAACCUGCCAUCCACUGCUGUGUAAGAACAUGAUUAAUAAUAAAAACACUGUGUUUGAAAUGUAAAA